rnacentral:rRNA from 1 species
UUGAACGCUGGCGGCAGGCCUAACCCAUGCCAGUCGAGCGGAUGAAGGGAGCUUGCUCCUGGAUUCAGCGGCGGACGGGUGAGUAAUGCCUAGGAAUCUGCCUGGUAGUGGGGGAUAACGUCCGGAAACGGGCGCUAAUACCGCAUACGUCCUGAGGGAGAAAGUGGGGGAUCUUCGGACCUCACGCUAUCAGAUGAGCCUAGGUCGGAUUAGCUAGUUGGUGGGGUAAAGGCCUACCAAGGCGACGAUCCGUAACUGGUCUGAGAGGAUGAUCAGUCACACUGGAACUGAGACACGGUCCAGACUCCUACGGGAGGCAGCAGUGGGGAAUAUUGGACAAUGGGCGAAAGCCUGAUCCAGCCAUGCCGCGUGUGUGAAGAAGGUCUGCGGAUUGUAAAGCACUUUAAGUUGGGAGGAAGGGCAGUAAGUUAAUACCUUGCUGUUUUGACGUUACCAACAGAAUAAGCACCGGCUAACUUCGU